CUUUUUCUUCAUGAAAUUUAUUGACUUUUCCUCAUCUAGGGUCAUGAACUGGUGUGUAAAAUCUGGACACUCUGAUGUGUAGUGGGAUGUCUGUGCACAGUUUGAAUACAAAUAUGAUCAUAUUUGUUAUUG